UACGUAGGCAGCAAGCGUUGUUCGGAGUUACUGGGCGUAAAGGGUGUGUAGGCGGUUGGAUAAGUGUGGUGUGAAAGCCCCCGGCUCAACUGGGGAGGGUCACGCGAUACUGAUCGACUCGAAGGCAGGAGAGGGUAGUGGAAUUCCCGGUGUAGUGGUGAAAUGCGUAGAUAUCGGGAGGAACACCAGUGGCGAAGGCGACUACCUGGCCUGUUCUUGACGCUGAGGCGCGAAAGCUAGGGGAGCAAACGGG
rnacentral:rRNA from 1 species